GGAACUCUGGGCUAGCUCCAUAGCAUCUGCUUGGUAUGCAGAAGGUCCUAGGUUCAAUUUCUGGCAGCUCCA
rnacentral:tRNA from 1 species